AAGAGGCUGCCAGGCACACUUGCUGGGUGCAUUUGGAGCUCACCCCCAGCAGCUGAGGCUGAAAACUCCUCUGGGAGGUGUGCAGCAGAGGGGAGCACAUGGACAAGCUCCGUGCUGCAGGGAUGAUCCACCUGAACUGCUCCUAAAGGGAAUCCUUGGCAGGUUGGGGCAUGGGAAGAGCUCCCUCCUGCAGCUGUGACAUGGCCAUGGGGCUGGGAGAGCUGAAGGGAGAAGUGCUGGGGUUCGGAUGGUGCUGGAGAUGUGAGGCUGGACGUGAUGCACAGGUCCUCUGCUGCUUCUGGCACCUCGUCUGGACAGCCUGGCUUGUGCCCGUACUUCCAGCUUCCUCCAGAGGAGACAAAGCUGCAAAACGAUGCUUCGGAGAGCUGGGUUUGCACAGGGGAUGUACAUUUGCCCAGGGAUGUGCCGCAGCUCCCUGUGCAGAUGGCUCUGAGCUUGGUGCCGUGCCAGGGGCUGAUCCUGACUGCAGAUCACCCCAAAAUACACCUCAGCCUUCCUGGCCACCAGCCCCGGCACGGUGAUAGCCCAGCAACCUGGAGCUCUGUGCAACAGGGAUAAAACCCACCGAGGACCAGGAAUGUUCCCGUGCAGUGAGCACAAGGCAGUGCUACCACCACGUGCACCAGAAAUGAGCAAGCAACUUGAGGCUGGAGUGGCAGAAAAAAAGGACAGCAUCAAAAUGACCUCCUUACUGAGACCACCAGAGCAGGCAGGUUAUACAGCGCUCGUUGCUGGAGCAAAGCAGCGGCUUUUCCUUCCUCGUUCUUCCGGCUUCCCUCCCCUCUGAGUAAAGUUUAAGUUCUCGUAUGAGUUUAAAACAUUAUUGCUGGAAAGAGGCUGCCUCCUGUAUCGCAAAGGAAGAGCCGCAUGUCGGUGCAAAGCAUGGGUGCCACCACACGAGCACAGCACUCGGAGCGCUGCAGCCUUCAUCCCCGGCAGCACGAGCCAGGUGAAGCGGUGCUUCAGGAGCCUUCACCUGCACCUGGCAGCCAAAAGCAGAAAUCAGCCUCCAGAUGGGGGCUGGCUGCUUUUCUCUGACAAAAGGAGGAAAAGGAGGCAUGCUGUUAUAACAUAAAAAGAUGAUGGGCAUCGAGGGCUCCGCUCGUUUUUCCAUCAGAAAUUUAGCUUCUGUCCAGUCAGCAAAGUGAGUAAGGACUGGCAGAACAGUGUAAAUGCAUCCAAAAAGCUAAAAUCCUAUAUGCUGUGCAACCAGACUAGUAAGGUUCAUGGUGUAGAAAAUCCUCAGAAUUUUCUUCAUUCACACCAGCUUAAUUGCCUAAAGAACAUCUGGAGAGAAGACCUGGCCACUCAUUGAAGUCCUGAGCAGUGACAACCCACAUUUCUGAAAACACUUAUCAGAUCCUCUAUCAAAACCAGGGGCAGUUGCAGCUUAAAUAUUGGGAAGGCUUAAAAAAAGCACAAUUUUUCCAGUUCCUUUCAGGACUUUGUCGCACAACCCAAAAAUGCGAAAGUGAAACAGAUCUGUUGUGCUUUUUUAAUAUAUAAAGUAGAUGACCUUUAAGGUGCACUUUCACCUGUUGUUACUUCGCAGGAAGGAUGAACAGGCUCAGAAACUGUGAGAAAUAGAGAAUAAAGGGCGAACAAAAUGGGAACAGCCACAAAGUUGGACAAGUAUCAAUAUUUACCGGGCAGGAGUUAGCACAGUGUUUGCUGCUACAGAAAACACAUUAUUUAUUCCUUGAGCAUUCAGCUGCAGCUUGCUCGCGGGACUGCCGUACUCACACGGCCACGCUGCUGCUGCUGAGAGCCCUCGGCUGGACCCAUAUACACUCGAUAGAUCUGCUGCUGCUUUUCCGAAAGGCAAGUUUAAGUGUGCCGCUUACCAGCUCUGCCUGCAGGAAAGCCGAGCUGCUGAUGAACAAGAUUAGACAGAGCAAUUUCAUACCCAGUAUUUAGCACAGCUUUAUGCGCUUUUUCAAAACAGCACCGUUCGCCCUGGAAAAGAGCAUUUUCCUUUCUUUCUUUCUUCUUUUCCUCUUGUAAGUGUUCCUGUAUCGAGAGCUGAGGGCUGAUAGGGGUUAGCACGGUGGGGUCUGAGUUUUGUGUGAGACAUCUGGCUGCCAUCGCAGUGCUCACCUCACUGCGUUACUGCGGGGAGCGAGCAAAAUCUGGAAACUGCUACUUCACUGGGCAAGAAUCUGCAUACGUUCAUGCUGUGAACACGCGAUGGGCUCUACGAGGACAGAAACAGGUGUUUACUCCUUGCUACGUGAUUUAUUUGAUCUCUUCUCUAAAUCCCCUUCUCAUGCCAGUACAUCUCCACAUAAAUCCCAUGCUAAAAUUUUAUCUACAGAAAGCAUACAUUGUAUAUGCAUUGGCUGGCUCGUGAAAUGUCCAUAAUUAAAUUUCAUGAAACCUACAUUUUUUUUAUAUAUAUAUAAGUUCAGACACUCUGAGAAAUAAAAUAGAAACAGGAGAGUUCUGGCCAACUUCUGUAGGCCUAUAGACUUAUUAGGUAUUCCAGCCCAAGGAAACCAGGAAUGU